UACGGAAGGCAGCAGUGGGGAAUAUUGCACAAUGGGCGCAAGCCUGAUGCAGCCAUGCCGCGUGUAUGAAGAAGGCCUUAGGGUUGUAAAGUACUUUCAUCGGGGAGGAAAAACAAAACUAAUAAUUUUAUUUCUUGACGUUACCCGAAAAAGAAGCACCGGCUAACUCCGUGCCAGCAGCCGCGGUAAUACGGAGGGUGCUAGCGUUAAUCAGAAUUACUGGGCGUAAAGAGCACGUAGGUGGUUUUUUAAGUUCAGAUGUGAAAUCCCUGGGCUUAACCUGGAACUGCAUUUUGAAACUGAAAUACUAGAGUAUCGUAGAGGGAGGUAGAAUUCUAGGUGUAGCGGUGAAAUGCGUAGAUAUCUGGAGGAAUACCUGUGGCGAAAGCGGCCUCCUAAACGAAUACUGACACUGAGGUGCGAAAGCGUGGGGAGCAAACAGGGAUUAGAUACC
rnacentral:rRNA from 1 species